rnacentral:rRNA from 1 species
CGGCUUGCUGGGUCUUAACUGACGCUGAGGCACGAAAGCGUGGGGAGCAAACAGGAUUAGAUACCCUGGUAGUCCACGCCGUAAACGAUGAGUACUAGACGUUGGGUUAAACCAGUGUCGAAGUUAACACAUUAAGUACUCCGCCUGAGUAGUACGUACGCAAGUAUGAAACUUAAAGGAAUUGACGGGACUCCGCACAAGCGGUGGAUCAUGUUGUUUAAUUCGAAGGUACCCGAAAAACCUCACCAGGUCUUGACAUGUUUCUGCAAAGCUGUAGAAAUACAGCGGAGGUUAUCAGUUGCACAGGUGGUGCAUGGUUGUCGUCAGCUCGUGUCGUGAGAUGUUGGGUUAAGUCCCGCAACGAGCGCAACCCUUGUUGUUAAUUGCCAUCAUUAAGUUGGGGACUUUAGCAAGACUGCCAGUGAUAAAUUGGAGGAAGGUGGGGACGACGUCAAAUCAUCAUGCCCCUUAUGACCUGGGCUACAAACGUGAUACAAUGGCUGUUACAAAGGGUAGCUGAAGCGCAAGCUUUUGGCAAAUCUCAAAAAAACAGUCUCAGUUCGGAUUGAAGUCUGCAACUCGACUUCAUGAAGUUGGAAUCGCUAGUAAUCGCGAAUCAGCAUGUCGCGGUGAAUACGUUCUCGGGGUUUGUACACACCGCCCGUCAAACCACGAAGGUUGGCAAUACCCAAAGCCGGUGGCCUAACUUGAGCAAUCAAGAGGGAUCCGUCUAAGGUAGGGUCGAUGAUUGGGGUUAAGUCGUAACAAGGUAUCCCUACCGGAAGGUGGGGAUGGAUCACCUCCUUU